rnacentral:rRNA from 1 species
UACAGAGGCCCCAAGCGUUACUGAGAAUCACUGGGUUUAAAGGGUGCGUAGGUGGCGCGUUAAGUUCGUUGUGAAAUCCCUGGGCUCAACCCGGGAACUGCUUCGAAUACUGGCGUGCUUGAGGCUAGUAGAGGUCACUGGAACUGACGGUGGAGCGGUGAAAUGCGUAGAUAUCGUCAGGAACGCCGGUGGUGAAGACGGGUGACUGGGCUAGUUCUGACACUGAGGCACGAAAGCGUGGGGAGCGAACGGG